UACGUAGGGCGCGAAGCGUUAUCCGGAAUUAUUGGGCGUAAAGAGCUCUGUGAGCGGUUUGUCGCGUCUGCCUGAAGCGGAAUCGGACUCCAGCCGACUUGCGGUGGGUACGGGCAGACUAGAGUGAUGGUAGGGGAGACUGGAAUUCCUGGUGUAGCGGUGGAAAUGCGCAGAUAUCAGGAGGAACACCGGUGCGGAAGGCGGGUCUCUGGGCCACUACUGACGCUGAGGAGCGAAAGCAGUGGGGAGCGAACAGGAUUA
rnacentral:rRNA from 1 species